CUGCCCCUACGGGGCGCAGCAGUAGGGACUCUUCCACAAUGGGCGAAAGCCUGAUGGAGCAACGCCGCGUGGGUGAAGAAGGUCUUCGGAUCGUAAAACCCUGUUGUUAGAGAAGAAAGUGCGUGAGAGUAACUGUUCACAUUUCGACGGUAUCUAACCAGAAAGCCACGGCUAACUACGUGCCAGCAGCCGCGGUAAUACGUAGGUGGCAAGCGUUAUCCGGAUUUAUUGGUCGUCA
rnacentral:rRNA from 1 species